CUCCUACUCCCUCCGUCCGGAAAUACUUGUCAUCAAAAUGAAUAAAAGGGGAUGUAUCUAGAUGUAUAUUAGUUCUAGAUACAUCCCUUUUUAUCCAUUUUGAUGACAAGUAUUUUCGGACGGAGGGAUUACUUA
rnacentral:pre_miRNA from 1 species